GCAUAAAAAAGUCUUAAAGACACGCCUGGCGGUUGAACAAUAAUCAAGGCUAGCAGGGGUUGUUAGUUUGGGGCAGGAGCUGGUCUGCACUGCUGGUUGGUAUGGCUCCUCCCAUUGUGACUUUUCAUUUGCUGCUAUACAUAUCCUCUAAUAACACUUUAUAUGGGACCUCCUGGACCACUUUAUAUGGGACGUCCUGGUGAUACUGAUUAUUCCUGUUAGAGUAAUGAUCAAAUAUUUAUCCUAAAAUAAGAUAUGCAGUAACAUUUUGAGGUUGGUUCCUUGGGUGAAUCAUAGGAGGAAUUAUCAUGAAAUUAAAAAUAGUUAUUGAUAAGACAGGGAGGGAGUUCCCUGAUGACCUCUAGUUUCGUGGGGUCAUAGGCUGUGCUCCGCACAGGACUCCACUUGCCGGUUGGAAGGCAUCCUGCUUGCUUCAAGGGUUACUUGAAAUCUUUCUUUACCACCAAAAUCAGAGUAUUUGUUGAUAGAGGUUGUUAGAAGUAAAGACCAUAUUUAAUGUGUCUUUUUCAGUCCCUAUGACAGCAACGCAGAUCAGAGAAGACUGGAUUAGGAAUUAUUAUCAGUAAUUUAAGUUUAGUUGGCUGGAAAUGGAGGAUUCUGUUACAAUCUUGCUGAAGAAACUUAAUCUGGUGCUUUUGGAGAUGGGAUGCUUUGCUGAAUGGACCAUUAGGAAUAAUCAAAUUGCAUCAGACAUUUUCUUCCUCGUCCUUCUGAUGUUAUUUGUAUUAGAGAACUAUUUUUUAAUCCUGUAGAUAGAAAACAGAGGUAGCAGCACGAGCCUUUCCCCAUCUGUCAGGACCAUAUUUGCCCACUUUUGGAGUUUAAAUAGAGGGCAAUCUUUAUCAUCACAACCUAGUAGGUUUGGAAAUGCCUGGACAUGGGCCAACCUCGGUUCUCCAUUUAAUGAACUUUAAUUUCAAACCAAGAUUGAAUACACCAUGCACCUAUCUGGCUGUUGCUGCUCCAGAGCACAUAAUCCAUUCCUCCGCCUCACCCUGAGGAAGGAAGGCAUCUCACGUGAGGUGGUCUGGCUUUCCUGCAACAGCUGUAUAUUAAAUCUAGAUGAACAUUUAAGGUAACUUAAAUAUUUAACUAAUUUUAAACAGAAUGUCUAGCUGCAGCAAUAUUGCUGUUGUGUCACAGAUGAUUUUUCUCGGAGCACAACUGAGACUGAUAGUGCUGCCACCUCUAAUGCAGUGACAAAAUGCUUAUUUCAAAAGCAGGGAGAUGACUAGUAGAAAGACUAAUCAGAUGUUGGUAAGUAUCCUCUUAGUCCUUUCCUUUUAAAAAUUCUUUCUCACUCAUGGCUUUCCAUGUACAAAAAUGGAAGCUAACUAACUAUGAGAUCUCAGAAAAACAAAAGUUUCAUGCAAGCUUCUACAUGAGAUUUCUUAAUGAAACAAUUAAGAUUUCUCACCUUAUUUUAUUUUAUUUAUUUAUUAAAUUUGUUAGUUGCUUUAUCUUGCUCAAAGCAACUUACAACCAAAGGGGGAAAAAGAAAACACCCGCAUAAAUACAUUGAAAGCAAGGAGGAAGGGAAUUCAAUAAAUAUAGUAAAAAAAUUCCUAAAAGGCCAGAGGUAGUUGGAGGUCAAAGGUAAGUUCACCUGUCUAGUGUUUUAAUCUUUCAAUAUGUCAUUUGACUAGGUAAGUGCUAUCUUUCAAACCACUAUACUUAAUAGACAAGAUUUGGGUGAAGACCAAAAAUUGGCACAUGAACAGUAGAAAUAAGGCAAAGAGCCCAAUUCACACAAACUUGCAGGAGUUACGGCUUCUUAACAUGCAGCCACCUGAAGAUUUCCACAUUACAGCAAGGAGCUGAUGUGUUGCACCUUGCCAUGCAGAUUUAGUCAUUUUCACCUUACUCUUGCAGUUCUUUCAUUUUGACAAUUUUGCAAUUCCAGGUGAAAUCUACCAGAUGCACUUGGCGAUCCCCUUAAUUAUACAAAUUUCCAUGUUUACAUUUUAAGCAGAGCCAUGCUGUUUCUAGUUCAUCUGAAUUUUGCCUCAGAUUUUUGUAACGAGGUGACUCUGAGAGGAAUUCCCAUUUUAGAAACAGUGGGAUUUCCAGUGCUUAGAAGUAUAACAUGCGCACAUGCACUAUGCACAAACAUGCUGUGUUAGUGUUAAUGUACUGUUGUCUUUAAUGUUUUGGGUAGUAGAAUUUCCUUUUCUGUGCAUGACUCAUUUAUUCCUUCUCUGCAGUAAUUACAUGAUUGGGGGAUAAGUUGGCUUCCAUUUAGUUUAAAAUUUCUCUGCAUUUCAGAAUCGCAGCUGAACAAGCUGGUGAUAGGGCUCUGUUGCUGCUCAUUUGCUCCCUUGAGUCAGCUUUAGUAAAGGAAGAGCCCCCUUUCCUUUUCAGAUCAAAGCUUAUCUCCCUGCCACCCAAGAGCGCCUGAGAUAAUGUUGACCUCUUUAGCUUCUACUGCAUAUUUCCCCCUUUCCCCUUAUGGAAAGAAGGCAAGUGGGAGAAGAAUUAAGCAGGCAUCUUCUGGGGGGAAAAACCCUCAUGCCUCUCUGUCUUUUGUUGUUCAGCUUCAAAUGAAAGGAAUGUGAAGCAAAAGUGUUUAAAGGCAAAUAGAGUGAAAUUGAAAAACAGCAUCUCAGUUGCUCAGAGGGAGAGAUUGCUACUUUUGAGGCAUAGGCGGAGUUCUCUUUAGAAAGAUAGGAUUUGAAAAUGAAAAUUGCUAUUGCAGCAAAAGUACAGCAGAAGGUCUGCUAGGACUGAUUAGCCCCAUGACUCUUUAUAUUUGCUCCUGCAGUAGUUACUAUAACACAGAAGGAGAAAGAGAAAUUUUGGUGGAGGCUGAUUGAUUCACCUUCCUCUGUAUAUUAUUAAUAAUAAGUGUCUUAAUAGCAUAGUUUUUAUUGAUUUUUGCAUUUAAAUAUAUAAUCCACCUGGGAUGUAGUAAAAAAAAGCCAUGUCUAUAAUCUAUUUUGGUGAUAAUUAAUAAGCAUAUAUAAUGCCACAGCAUAUUCAAGAUGCAGUGUUUCAUAGUGAUGCCUACAGUAUUAUUAUCCUCAUAUUGCAGAUGAAGAACCUGAGAAUCAGAAAUCUGUGGCUUGCCUAAGGCUACUUGUUGAGUGCUUGGCAGAGGUGGAAUUCAAGAGAGGAGCAGCCUGAGUUAUAGUUGUCUCAUUAUGGAGUACUUAACACCAGCAAAGACUGGUACAUUUGUCCUUGACUGGUUCCCAUUACCAGUUCCCCUAGCCUAGUAUAUUGCCACAGUUACAGAAAGACUUUUAGUGGCAGCAAAGUUCCUAAUUUUAGGACUCCUGGAGACAGAGUUCCUUUAUUACUGCCAGGUGUGUUGGCCCUAUCUCAGCACUGUAAGGACUAGUUGCAUGGAGGAAGUAAUGAAAAGGUGGGUAACCUGUUGCCCUCCAGAUCCUGGACCGCAGUUCUCACCUUAUUUGACCAUUGGCCACACUGAUUGGAGCUAGAGUUCAGCAACAUCUGGCACAUUGACAUUUCCUGGAGGGCGCACUGACAUUUAUUUUGCAUUUCCCCCAGUAAUGCCAGCUGCCACCACUUACUGAACUGGAUCUGGUGUCUUUCAAAUGUGCUACUGUGAUCAUGUGAAUCACCAUUGGGAAAUGGCAGCUCUGUUUGGGGAAUCACAUGCUCACACACAUUCAAAUAGGGUCAGGGUCUUGUUUGCCCCAUCUUUAUUUUCUGUGCUCUGCCUGUCUCUCUAGGCCACAGACCUUAAGCAGACAGUCUGCUUUUAAUUCAUUGCCCUUUGAAUAAACCAACUGUGUUCGUCUGCCUACCUCUCCCCAUGCCAUAUGACACAUUUUCAAAAAACCGGUGUGGACUGCCUAUAGCAUUUGUUUUUCCUCCUUCCCCAAACAAAUGCACACACCAGUACUUGUCUUAAAAUAAUCCAUUAUCAUCCCUGUCUUUCUGAAGCACUGCCCUUGUUAUGUCUAAGACACCCAUGGGCAGCAUUUUCUUGAUUGAAGUGGUGGAUGCCAAACUCUUUAGAAAGGAGCUUGCAGCUGUGCAGUACUUUUUCUUUUGAGGAAAACCAGAGCUUUGCCAUUGAUUUAAUAUGUACCAACUUUGAGCAUUUAACCAAUGGGAGUGACAACAGUCAACCCCCCACCCCUCCAAUAGAUUUGUAUAUACAGGUGGGGGAGGAAAUAACGUCAUUUAAAUUGUGAGCCUCUAUGAAUAUGUAAAUAGCAUCCCUAGCAAACUGCCUUAUGCCAAGGAAGAUCAAUAAUCCAUCUAGCUCAAUGCUGUUUACACGGGGGGGGGGCGUGUUAGUCAAGGUGAUGCCCUCAAGAUGUUGUGUGCUCGCAUCAGCCUUGGCAAGCAUGGAUGAUGGGAGCUAUAGUCCAGCAACAUCUAGAGGGCAUCACGGUGAUGACUCCUUGUCUUUGCUGACUGACAGAAGCUAUUCAGGGCUUUUCAGAUGGGAAUAAUUGCCCACAUGUUCUGGAGAUGCCCAGAGAACCUGGGACUUUUUCUAAGCAAAGCUACAGCCCUUCGUUGUUACUCUUUUAAUCAAGCUACUUUUCCCAUCACAUUUCAACAUUUGUGUUGGGAUUAAUGUGACUGGCAGCUGAAUCCCAAUGAACAAGACUUCUGGAGACGAAUUCCACAUUGUUCUUUCUAUCUCUCUCAGCAACUGGAUUUGAGAGCACCAGCACAGCCGUGCAUCAGCUGCAUUUCAUUGUGCUGGGGAUGAAUAAUCAAAAAGGGAAUAGCUGGUGGAUAUAAAUUAAGCAUUUUGUUGAGCUUCCCCAUUUGCUGCUGAACAGUAGUGUAAUGUCAGAGAAGAGGAUGAAAGAAUACAUGAGCACAGUAUGCUUAAGUGAUAAAUCUAUUGUUAUAGGGAAGCGCCCCCACAGAGCCUACUGAGGCUGAUGCCUGGAAUUCCAUUAGAUUUACUUAUAGACAGCUUUUCAACACAAGGUCGUUUCCAACAUACCAAUAUAGACUGAAGGAGAUCAAACGUGGUGUCCAGCUGACACCAAUCAGAGCAGAGCAGCCACUCUGUUCCUACCCUAUUACAGCACUACUGUCAGUUAGUCCUCUCUGGGCUGAAGGGGUGACAGGCUGUCCAUGAGGCAGCAGGUGGCAAGGGGGGCACCAUAACCCAAUUGCCACUGUGGGGGGCAUCAGCAGCACCAUGCCAUGGGUGGCAUGGCAGUAGCCUGGCAGUAGCCCCGGGCUAUCCUGUAAACUAUUAGAAGGGUAUCAGAGAAUUAAAAAUUGGAAGAGGAAGGAAGAGUUUGUUUAGAAGACUGCAGGUUAGCAGUCUUAUAGGGAAUAUAAAAGGUAGUAACUUUGUACAAUUACAAAAUGCAUCCUUAAAAGGAAAGAUUUUCUGACCACCCUCAAUCAAUGCAGUUUGGAGAUUGGCUCUGAUCCUGCAUAAACAUCUUCUCUCUUACACAGGCAGCUAAAUAUUACACAGGCAGGUAAUAUUGUCUGGUAGUUUACCCCCAUCCUUGAACCACUUCUCCCAAACCCUGCAGAGUGAUUUUUAAAAAAAUAAUAGGGCAUUGUUUAUUUCAAUUUUUUGGUCUCUUGAUUAUUUUGAUAUUGACCAAUCAUUUUUAUGCCCAGAAGAAGCCUUUGGGAAGCUAUAUUAUGCUAUAGCUUUUUUCAUUUCAAACUUCAAGGGCAAUUGUUAAUGAAAUGAGUAAGUUAAAACAAAAUGCUCACACUGAUGUGGUUACAUUAAAAGUUGAAAACCGAAAGCUCGGGAUUCUUGAAAACAAAACGGUAUUCACAAAUUGUUAAAUGUGGAAGAAGAAAAAAAUAUUAUUUCCUGCUGCUGUGACAUAUAGAACAUUUUGUUCCAGGCCUGGCAUCCUACAUUCAUCUAGCCCUAUGAUUUCUGCUCCCUUUCUUUGUCUACCUCAUCAUCGCCCAGGACCUCACAUUAACAUAACACAAUGUUUUUCUGUAGCUGGAGAUUAAACAAAAAUGCCUGCCAAAGCUUUAGGCACUUAAUUUGUUUAAAAGAAAAGAAAAAAUCAGAAGGGCAGAUAAGAAACAAAGUUCUGCUCUAUUCUGAUUCUACAUACACGGAUACUGCAGACUACCUUUUAUUUUCGGAAUGGAGCCAAGCAGAGAAAUUGGCUUUUUAAAGAAACAGGCCAUGAACCCUCACGACAGUGGUGUAGCUUUGCUUUAAGGUUUCCAGACAUGUUGCUGUUGUUGUAAUGGCAAUAAAGAGUCUUGUGUCAGUUGAAGAUUAACAAAUAGAUUAUGGCAUGUGCUUUCGUGGACUACAGUCUACUUAUUAUGCCAUAAUAAAUUUAUGUCUUUAACGUGCCACAAUACUUUGAAUUGCAUUUGGACUAGGUGUCAGGCAGGAGGUUCUGAUGAAGACUCUCCACUUCAGACCUCUCUCCUGCAUUACAUGGGAGGGACCAAUGGGGCUGAUUUACAGGAAUACAACAGAAGCUAUGGGGCCUAUAAGUGAGUCUCCAUACUCUCCUCCACGCUGAUAUGAUCACAUGGGGGAUCAUAGGGCUACGGUCUUGAUCAAAUCUUUAUGAUGUCAAGCUUUCUACUUUUGAAGUCACUCUCAUUACAUAUUUAUCAAGUGUCACUCUUUUUCUUUCUUUCAGUCCUAUGUACACUUACCUGGGAGCAACACACCAGUGAACACAGUGGGACUUACUCAUAGGAUUAGUUUGUGCCAUAUUUAAAUAUUUAAUCUAGCAGAUAACACGCCUGCCGCACGUCUACCUAGCUAAAGCUGGCAGCCAAAUGGUUUUGCAGAUGGGUUUUCUCUCUUCCUCCUCCUCCUACACUUUCAAAACAGCAGUCAGUAACUUGAACCCAAGAUAAGAUUUAUAUUAGAAUAAAUACAUGCUUUUUAAAUACACAGUGAAAGGUGUAGGCUGAGAUAUUAGACACAAAUGUUUGGAGUGAUUCACUGUGGCAUGAUACAUUCCAUUGUAGCAGAAAAGAGAACCCAGUCCAAAACACCUAAGGUUUUAUUGAUCUGCAAGUUUUCAGUGCAACUGGACAUGUUAAAAAAUUGAAUAUUUUAUGAAUGUACUGUAUUCAUAUCUAUGAGCAUUUAUCAAUUAUAGAACAAUUGUAUUGAUUAUCAUACAUUUCCUCAGUUUAAAUAAUGGAUGAUUGCAGGAAAGAAUCGAUCCAUUAAUUAUUGUGUUUCUUCUCACUUCCAGCCUGAAGCCUUGUUCAGGCAUUUGCCAUCGACUGUGUGAAGGGGUUCUGUAGGAAGGCAGAGCCUCAGUGACACCUCACAUGCUAGCAGAUGUGUGGUUGGCUGAGCCUGAAGAGAAGGGUCACCUUAAUUACAUGCAGGGUUUCCAAUGAGGGACAGCAGACCUAGCCCAUUAGUGAGCCCAUCCCUGUUUUGAAAACACUCUGCACAGUAAAGGUGCACUGCUUUAGAUUUGGCCAAUCAUGUGCCAACUUGAGAGCAUUGUCAGCAUGUGUGGUGCCACUGUGAUUCAGGUGUGUGCAUGUGUGUACGUGCAUACCUACUUUCAACUUAAAAUGUGGAAGAGGAGUCAGGAGAAGAAUCCUAGUUCAUUUCUCUUUAUCCUGUUUGCGGCAGCACUUAUUUCUUCCUAGCAAAAGAACAGAGAAUGAUGCCUGAAGAAAUGUUUUAAACUGAAUGUCGAGUGACAUUUGGCUUCAAAUGAUAUGAACUCAUUUUCUACCUAGGAUUGGUAAAAAUGCUCAGCAUUCUAUCAAAUAAGCAAAGGCUUGGUGUCAAACUAUAUAUUUGCCUAGCUAAAUUAGACUGGGACUGUAGCAAAACUUUCACAAGAUUUGAAAUUUAGUUUGAACUUUCCAAGGUUUGAUUUAAAAAAGAAACCGAUGGCUUGGGUAUAAAAGUAUCAUCAUUAAUGUUUGUGAAUUUAUAGUGUGAAUAGUCAUGUUACCCUAAUUUUGAAUUCAUGCUCUGAGACAUGAGUCCUACAUGGGUGUUCAGUUCCUCCAUGUGACUGUAAUAGCUUGCGGGAGAGCAGGUGAAUGGAAGCUAGCCCCACCCUCUCUAUCUUGCCCCCAUGCCCAGUUUGGCUGCCCUCUGAUCUUUGGAAGGUGGCCAACUGCAGCUGUAGUUGUGAAGGAUUCCCACCAGAUUUAGACACCUGAGUAUGUAGAGAGCCCUGUGGACGCUCGCUGUCCAUUGAAUGGAAGAUGGUUGGGGUGGUGGGAGGCAAGACUGUAGCCACCAGCACAUUCAUGAUCAAUCAAGAAUAAUGAGUAUAUUGAUGAGUGUAUUGACUGAAUAGGAUAAUGAUCAAUCAGUUCUACAUUCCACAUCCUGUCGUUUGGGAUCUUCCUUAUGAGAAAACGCAGAUGGAAAUUGGGACUUCUGGUAAGUUUGCUUGAAAACAUGGCCAACAUGUUGAUGUAGGCCAUGGCCUGUAGCUGUAAUUGAGGUAGCCAUGCUCCAAAACUAAAUACUGAGCUGGUUUAGAGUGGGCAGGAAGCCCAAAAUGGCUUUACCCAUGUAAAAAAGCACAUAUUGUAUUGCCACUAUAUGGUGAUUUUGGUGGCAACCUACUUCUGGAAACAAAUGCUAUAUACCACUGGCCACCUGGCCCCAGCUUUUCCUCUGCCAUUACCAAGAAAAACUGGUAUGGCAGCCUGGGAUUGGGGAUGAUUUUGUAACUGUCCAACUCCCUAAUUGAAGUAUCCUGAAUGAGAUGCCCAUGAAUUCAUGAGGCUGUUGUAUAGUGGCUUAGACUAUUGUUCCAUCUAACUUAAUACUGUCCACUACAACUAUGAGUGGCUCUCCAGGUUCAUAGGGUGGGAGUCUUUCCUGGUCCUUUAGGAAGAGAUCCUGCCAUAUGUGGUGGAACUGUAGUAAAGUGAAGGGCUUUGGGGAAUUAAUUUAUAACGAACUUAAAUUUUUUAAAAAAUAUACCUUCCCAAAAAGACCUGAAGCUUUCCUACUGGGAUUAGUGGGAAAGGAAAUUGAAAAAAAAAAAGAUAAGAAUUUAUUUCUAUAUGCCACAACAGCAGCCAGAAAUAUGCUAGCCCAGAAUUGGAAAACGGAUGUAAUACCUAAUAUAAUGGACUGGCAGGUCAAAAUGAUGAAUUAUGCAGAACUGGCUAAAUUAACAGGGAAAUUAAGAGAUCAGGACGAACAGAAGUUUCAAGAAAAUUGGAGUAAAUAUUUGAUGUAUAUAAGAAACAAUUGUAAAUCUCUGAAAACACUGGUAGGGUUGGAAUAACUCUUUCAGCGUGUGGUAGAUAAUAUGAUAUGUAAAAUACGAGAUUUCAGAUUUAUUUGAUACUUACCAAAGGAAUGGAGGGAAGUCUGAGGCUCGGUAGAGCCUAGCUUAAAUAUGUAACCUAUAAGUGUAAUAUAUGAAUAUAUGUACGUUCACUAAAAAUUAAUAAAAAUUAUUCUGC